rnacentral:rRNA from 1 species
AUUGAACGCUGGCGGCAUGCUUUACACAUGCAAGUCGAGCGGCAGCGCGGGGGGCAACCCUGGCGGCGAGCGGCGAACGGGUGAGGAAUACAUCGGAACGUACCCCGGAGUGGGGGGAUAACGCCGCGAAAGCGGCGCUAAUACCGCAUAUGCUCUGAGGAGGAAAGUGGGGGACCUGCAAGGGCCUCACGCUCUGGGAGCGGCCGAUGUCCGAUUAGCUAGUUGGUGGGGUAAAGGCCCACCAAGGCGACGAUCGGUAGCUGGUCUGAGAGGAUGAUCAGCCACACUGGGACUGAGACACGGCCCAGACUCCUACGGAGGCAGCAGUGGGGGAAUUUUGGGACAAUGGGGGGCAACCCUGAUCCAGCCAUGCCGCGUGCGGGAAGAAGG